rnacentral:rRNA from 1 species
UACGGAGGGGGCUAGCGUUGUUCGGAAUUACUGGGCGUAAAGCGCACGUAGGCGGCUUUGUAAGUCAGAGGUGAAAUCCCGGGGCUCAACCCCGGAACUGCCUUUGAGACUGCAUCGCUUGAAUCCAGGAGAGGUGAGUGGAAUUCCGAGUGUAGAGGUGAAAUUCGUAGAUAUUCGGAAGAACACCAGUGGCGAAGGCGGCUCACUGGACUGG